AGCUCUUGCAUACACAUGAGUUGGCAGCCGGUCUGAGCUGACCCAUAGACUCGUAAAAACCAACAGGGCCUCAGCACCCUCGCCUGGGAUACCCAAACUCUUGGACCAAAGGUGCAAAGUCUUGCCCACAUCAAGGAUCUGGCUGCUUUCUUGGGGACCAAGAGAUUGGGUUUUUGUUUCUACGCUUACUCUGGCAAUCCAUGAGGUUGAGAAAAGAACGUACUGGACUGUGGAAUGUGAUGACUCAGUCUAAGUCAAAAUAAGCCAGCCAGACAGACAACGUCUCCUCCUUCUGGGUCUCAGGUUUAAUGAAUUACGUGGGGACACCGGCCAUAUAAAAACACAAGCAGGCACUCAGUCUUGGACCAGUCAACCACGGAGUUGGAAUUCAGGUCUGACCCAGGACCACGGGUUCCAAGGCGAGAGACUCUGGGGCACCUGCACGUACUCUCCAGGUAGACUGGCCUUGUUGCUUUUCACAGGAAUCAGUAUUCAUAAUAGACAGGAGCUAUAUUUCAGUCCCCCACCCCCAGUCUCAUGUAUUUAUGAUACUUGGUAAGAUCAGCUUUGGUCCUGAUAUUGUAUCAUCAAACAGGUCAUUACGGUCUAUAUUAAUCCAGGUGAGGAUUUUUUUUAUUUUAAGGCAGGCAACUGAAAAUAGAAACAAGGUGGACUGAUACAUUCUUUCUUGCUCUUUUUUUUUUUAAGUUUAUGUAUUUAUUUUGAGAGAGAGAAAGGGGGAGGGAGGGGCAGAGAGAGAGAGAGAGAGAGAGACUGGGAAAGAGAGAAUCCCAAGCAGGCUCCAUGCUGUCAGCGUGGGGCAUGAUGCAGGGCUCGAACACACAUGAGAUCAUGACCUGAGCCAAAAUCAAGAGUCAGACACUAAAGACACUUACCCAACCCAGGCGCCUCUCUUGGUCUUGACAGUGGUGCUUG
rnacentral:lncRNA from 1 species